AAAGAUGAAAAGAACUUUGAAAAGAGAGUUAAGCAGUACGUGAAAUUGUUGAAAGGGAAACGAUUGAAGUCAGUCGUGCUGGCGCGAAAUCAACCCUCUCGUCUUGAGAUCACAUGGCGUGGCGAGCCUCAAAACCGUCACGAAGCGUGAACUCUUGAUGAGGAGGUGCACUUUCGUGUCCGCUGGUUAACAUCAAUUUCGAACGUCAUAAAAAGGCUGGAGGGAUGUGGCUCCUUCGGGAGUGUUAUAACCUUUAGCGGAAUGUGGUGUUCGGGAUUGAGGAUUGCAACGAAUACCUUUAGGGCUGUUCCACCUGGCUUCUCAUUGGCACCCUGGUGACGACAGCUUGCUGACGUCGUUAGGGACCGCCUUUGAACAGGCUAGAGUGUGAGCAAAUUCGUUAAGGAUGUUAACGUAAUGGCUUUAAACGACCCGUCUU
rnacentral:rRNA from 1 species